UACGUAGGGUGCGAGCGUUGUCCGGAAUUAUUGGGCGUAAAGAGCUCGUAGGCGGUCUGUCGCGUCGAAUGUGAAAACCCGGGGCUCAACUCCGGGCUUGCAUUCGAUACGGGCAGACUAGAGUUCGGUAGGGGAGACUGGAAUUCCUGGUGUAGCGGUGAAAUGCGCAGAUAUCUGGGGGAAGGCCGGCGGCGAAGGCGGUUUGCUGGUGGGUACCUGACACUGAGGCACGAAAGCGUGGGGAGCAAACAGG
rnacentral:rRNA from 1 species